AUACGUAGGUGGCAAGCGUUAUCCGGAAUUAUUGGGCGUAAAGAGGGAGCAGGCGGCAGCAAGGGUCUGUGGUGAAAGCCUGAAGCUUAACUUCAGUAAGCCAUAGAAACCAGGCAGCUAGAGUGCAGGAGAGGAUCGUGGAAUUCCAUGUGUAGCGGUGAAAUGCGUAGAUAUAUGGAGGAACACCAGUGGUGAAGGCGACGAUCUGGCCUGCAACUGACGCUCAUUCCCGAAAGCGUGGGGAGCAAAUAGGAUUAGAUACCCUAGUAGUCCACGCCGUAAACGAUGAGUACUAAGUGUUGGAUGUCAAAGUUCAGUGCUGCAGUUAACGCAAUAAGUACUCCGCCUGAGUAGUACGUUCGAAAGAAUGAAACUCAAAUGAAUUGACGGG
rnacentral:rRNA from 1 species